AUUGAACGCUGGCGGCAUGCCUUACACAUGCAAGUCGAACGGCAGCACGGGGGCAACCCUGGUGGCGAGUGGCGAACGGGUGAGUAAUACAUCGGAACGUGUCCUGUAGUGGGGGAUAGCCCGGCGAAAGCCGGAUUAAUACCGCAUACGAUCUACGGAAGAAAGCGGGGACGAAGGACCUCGCGCUAUAGGGCGGC
rnacentral:rRNA from 1 species